rnacentral:rRNA from 1 species
AAAUUAUAAGUUAAGGGUGUAUGAUGGAUGCCUUGGUUCUUGGAAGCGAAGAAGGACGUAAAAAACUGCGAUAAGCUACGGGGAUCGGUUAGUAGAAUAGAUCCGUAGAUUUCCGAAUGGGGGAACCCGAUAAAUUGAAGAUUUAUCAUCUUUGAAAAAAGAAGCGAACCUAGGGAACUGAAACAUCUAAGUACCUAGAGGAAAAGAAAGUAAUUUAACGAUUCUGUUAGUAGUGGCGAGCGAACGCGGAAGAGCCCAAACCAAUAUAGUUUCGGCUUUAUUGGGGUUAUAGGGGCGGAGACAUGUGAUUGUUUGUGUAUGUGAAUUAUUUGGAAAAAUAAAUCAUAGGAGGUGAAAAUCCUGUAGCAUAUGUGAAUAUUAGCUAUUCGCUACCUGAGUAGAUCGGUUUUGGUGAAGGACUGAUUGAAUUUGCCAGCACCAUCUGGUAAGGCUAAAUAUUACCAAGAAACCGAUAGUGAACAAGUACCGUGAGGGAAAGGUGAAAAAUAUCCUGAAUAAGGAGGUGAAAUAGAUCUGAAAUCAUACACCUACAAGCGGUCGGAGCUAGCAAUAGUGACGGCGUGCCUUUUGGAUAAUGAUCCUACGAGUUAAUUUUAUUAGCAAGGUUAAGCAUUUUGAGAUGUG